AACGAACGCUGGCGGCAUGCCUAACACAUGCAAGUCGAACGAUGCCUUCGGGCAUAGUGGCGCACGGGUGCGUAACGCGUGGGAAUCUGCCUUUCGGUUCGGAAUAACUCAGGGAAACUUGAGCUAAUACCGGAUAACGUCGCAAGACCAAAGAUUUAUCACCGAAAGAUGAGCCCGCGUAGGAUUAGCUAGUUGGUGAGGUAAAGGCUCACCAAGGCGACGAUCCUUAGCUGGUCUGAGAGGAUGACCAGCCACACUGGGACUGAGACACGGCCCAGACUCCUACGGGAGGCAGCAGUGGGGAAUAUUGGACAAGGGGCGAAAGCCUGAUCCAGCAAUGCCGCGUGAGUGAUGAAGGCCUUAGGGUUGUAAAGCUCUUUUACCCGGGAAGAUAAUGACGGUACCGGGAGAAUAAGCCCCGGCUAACUCCGUG
rnacentral:rRNA from 1 species